UACAGAGGUCCCAAGCGUUGUUCGGAUUCACUGGGCGUAAAGGGUGCGUAGGCGGUCGGGUAAGUCUGAUGUGAAAUCUCACAGCUUAACUGUGAAACUGCAUUGGAUACUAUCCGGCUCGAGGAAUGGAGGGGAGACUGGAAUACUUGGUGUAGCAGUGAAAUGCGUAGAUAUCAAGUGGAACACCAGUGGCGAAGGCGAGUCUCUGGACAUUUCCUGACGCUGAGGCACGAAAAGCCAGGGGAGCAAACAGG
rnacentral:rRNA from 1 species